GGUGCAUCCUUCUGCCCUUGACCGACGUCCCCAGCUCCCUGCUGGCUGGGCUGUGCUGGAAACGCCUUGCUUUAUUUGCCACCUCCCUUGCUCUUUCCUCUUGCUCCUUGAAUUUGUCUUUGCCCCGAUCCAAGGAGGAAAGCUCUUAAUCAAACCUGGCCUUCGCUAAAGGCGCAUUUCCAAGACAGACCUGUGUAAAUAGGCAGUAUCUCAAUUACCCUCCACUAGUAGUAACGUUUGCUGUUUGAAAGAGGACAGCCUCCACCUUCCUAUUCAUCACAGUAACCCUUCAAAGUCCUGCAGCGUGCCAGUUGCAGAGAAGGUGUUUUUGGAGCACAGCAGAACUACCCAUGAUAUAAGCCAAACGCUGAGCGAAAAUAUUUUAUUUGCACACCAGCCAAUAUAUGAGAUGCAACUACAGGGAUUUAAACACGAUACUCAGGCUCAUUAGCAAAGCAAGCAUAGAUAACAAGGAUUUACUGAACAUUACCGUCUGACUUGGCCAGCUCUCCCAGAGGGAUCAUUAAGAUGGAGAGCUAAGAAUCCCGGUGAAAUUGCAAUCUGAGAACAAGAUCAGCAACUUCAGCGUAGUGGGGAAGUCAGGAAAUGUCCUCCUCUUUGUGUCCAACAGAAGGAUCGCUACAGAAACAAAAAGGCAAAACAUGAAAGUACUUCAGAGACGGGUUUAAAAGAAAUAAAAGGUAUGUAUCAAAUCCAACAAGAGAAAAACUCAACUGAAACAGUAAAAGAAAGAUGCUCCAACUGUGUUUCCAAAAGGAAAAAGGGACAGUUGUCAACUAAGCAUCUAUCAUCAUUGCUUGUGGCUGCAGAUAGUGCCCAGACCCAAAUUCCCCAAAAGUUCAAUGGAGAUGGAAGUGAUUCUCCUGAGGCACCCAGAAGAACAAUCAAGGAGCAAUUAGCAGAGGCCUAAAAUAGGAAGGAA
ensembl:lncRNA